CUGGCCAUUUAGUGAAGCGUGUGGUAUAAGGCUUAAGAGGGAACUAAGAAUGCUCCAAGAGAAAGAAAGAGAAAACAUUAACUUGAAAAGAAACUCAUAUAUCUGUGUUUUGCUGAAUGUGUUGAGUAAUAGCGUAGCCUUUCUUCAAAUGGAGAAAAGGCUCCAUUCACGAUCUGGUUAGAGAGAAACCUGGCCUCUUAACAUGCUGUAGAGUCGUGGAGCUUAACAAUGUCCAAACGUGGUGCCUCUUAGCCGGCGCCUUCUGAAUUCUCUGAAUACUCCAUGCCUCCUGUCUGUUAUUAGAGGUAUAAACAACUCUUCCUUUAAUUUGAGACUGCCUUUAGCAAGAAUGCCUAGAGGAAUUCUUGAAGAACCAGGUUUUACCUUUCUCCCCAGAAAAAAACAGUGGGACAAACAGCCACGUGUCUUUAGUGAGCAACCUGUACAUUCCGCCUACCAACAAGGCGAGAGCGAUCCUGUUGGAGCCACAGAAGGCACCGAAUUCUUCAGAGCAUCAAUGACUGUGUGAAAAAGCCUUGACUCGGUAUCAGUGGAAACAAUUCUCAUUAAUGUUGCCUAACAUUUUUGUAGAUGAAUGUUGACAAAAUUAAAGACUCUGAGGGCUGCUGAAUAAAUCUGGGGUUGCCUAAGAUCUGGAAUAGGCAGACGUUAUUAUACACAACACCUUCCUGGUGUGAAAAGGAAAUAAGGCAGUUUACAGUGGAAGGAUUUCCUUGCUUUCCCCCUCCUCCUCAGGAGAGGGGUACAAUCAGUGUUUAUUUAAUCAAAUGUGUUAACUUUUUAAAAAAUAAAUUCACUGUAUUAUAAAUAUAAAUUCAUUUAUUGCAUGUAUAAAUCCCGCUUUAAGUGUUUUGGAGUCACAAUGUGUGUUGAGCACUUUUUAAGUCUCUCUCCUUGACAUUGAAGACAAAAGUUCUCUCUCUCUCUCUCUCUCUCUCUCUCUCUCUCUCUCUCUCUCUCUCUCUCUUGGUUUUUGGUUUUUCAAGACAGGGUUUCACCAUGUAGCCCUGGCUGGGCUGGAAGUCAUUCUGUAGAUGCAAAGAGCCUCUGCCUCCUGGAUUAAAGGCAUAAGCCUCUGCCACCAUCACCACCACCACCACCACCACCACCACCACCAUCAUCACCAUCACCACCACCAUCACCACCACCACCACCACCACCAUCACCACCAUCACCACCAUCACCACCACCACCACCAUCACCACCAUCAUCACCAUCACCACCACCACCACCACCAUCACCACCACCAUCACCACCACCACCACUAGGUAACAACAAAGACUCUUAAAAUGGAAUCCGCAGA
rnacentral:lncRNA from 1 species